rnacentral:rRNA from 1 species
AUUGAACGCUGGCGGCAUGCCUUACACAUGCAAGUCGAACGGCAGCAUGGAGAGCUUGCUCUCUGAUGGCGAGUGGCGAACGGGUGAGUAGUGCAUCGGAACGUACCGUGUAAUGGGGGAUAACGUAGCGAAAGUUACGCUAAUACCGCAUACGACCUGAGGGUGAAAGCAGGGGAUCGCAAGACCUUGCGUUAUACGAGCGGCCGAUGUCAGAUUAGCUAGUUGGUGAGGUAAAGGCUCACUAAGGCGACGAUCUGUAGCGGGUCUGAGAGGAUGAUCCGCCACACUGGGACUGAGACACGGCCCAGACUCCUACGGGAGGCAGCAGUGGGGAAUUUUGGACAAUGGGGGCAACCCUGAUCCAGCCAUGCCGCGUGAGUGAAGAAGGCCUUCGGGUUGUAAAGCUCUUUCGGCCGGGAAGAAAUCGCACAGGCUAAUACUCUGUGUGGAUGACGGUACCGGCAUAAGAAGCACCGGCUAACUACGUGCCAGCAGCCGCAGUAA